GGACUCUCAAUAAUUCAACACAUUUCCGCCAGGGUCUCAACGUUCGCCCGAUUCUUCUCCACGGUUUCGCGCCUCAAUCUUUCCGGAUCGAGCGGACAUGUUUUAUUCACCGAGUAACCUCUAUCGUGUUCUUAAGUUACUUCUCGUGUGACCGAUUUAACGAAUUUUUUGCGUUUUCGGUUUAGAUGAUCCGUUUUUUGGUUUUUGGAAUUGCAAAUUUAUCGGCACGAUUUUAUAUAAUGAUAAAUCCUAAUGCUACGAUGAUAGGUAACCUAAGAGGUUAGGUUUCAUAUAAGUUGAUAAAGUUUAAGAUUAAUAACGGUGAUUUUUUGUGACAGAUUUUUUAUUUUUGCUAAGUGAAUUUGAAAAAUUGAUAUUAUGAUUGAAUUGAUACUAACAAGAGUAUAAAUUUUUCGAUUUAAUUGUGAUGUUAUUAGAUUUCGUCAAAAUGGUGUAUUUGGCAGGACGUUUGACUAAACCAGUUUACGAAAUGUAAUUUAAUAGCAUUCUUGAGAAACGUAUGGUAUUGAUUAACAAUUUGAGACCCCUUGCUGUGCCAAGAAGAGGUUUCUUUAGUAGGGGUAGUUCGAUAAUUCAGCUGUAUCUAUACAAGGCUUCUCACGAGAUCACCGAAAAUUUCACUGCUUGUUUCCUUUGAAGAAGAAUUAUCAAGAAUACAUUUCAACCAAAAAAAAAAUUCCAAUUAAAUUAAAACAAAGAAUACCUGCAACUCGUAUACGUGUGAGGGACGACUGUGUUCAUAAAAAUCCCCGUAAACGCGAACAGUCGGCAUUUUUACGGCUUCGUCGCGUACCAUAAAACUGGUAGACAAUUUUUCCACCUACGAGCCCUGAACGUGAAACAUCGAGUAUCGAUAUCGUUCAAAAAUUGACAUUUUUAUAUAUUUACGAGGUUGCACUCAAUCGAUAAUCGAUACACUUGAACGAAGUUGAAAUCGAACCAAUAAAAUUGACCAUGAUUUUAUACGAAAUAUUGAGCUGAAUUUGAUUAAAAGUGAAGUGAUUUCUUCUUUUUGGACGAAGAAAAAUGGAUUGUUUACGCGAAAAUAAAAAUAAAAAUUUUUGAUUAUUGAUCGAAAGUUUCGAAAAGAUUGAGUUAAGAUUUCGCACGAAAGGAAUAAAUUACUUUAAAAUUGCGUGAAACUACAAGAGAGAGAGAGAAAAACAAAAAAGAAUUCUAUCGACUGGCAACGAAAGUUUCCUUGGCAGAAACGAUACGAUUGUAUCUGGGAUCUGGUGGCCGAAUAACAGGAAAAUUAGCACAAGAUCGUGCCCCUCGUGUAUGCACGUGUGUUUGUGUGUGAAUGUCCCUGCUGUUGAUACAGUAGCUAUCGAUAGAAGUGGGUCGGUUCGUUAGUCUGUCCCAGCCUGUUUUCAGCGAACGUGUCCAUCCGACAAGAGGAUGUUUCAAGUCUCUCUCUCGUACGUAACCGGUUAUACAGGGUUAUAAAAGACAUUGCAACUUGCGUGAGAGAUCGAUUGCGAUGGUGUGAUUACGAGGGAAAAGAAAAGAAAAAAAUAAAAAAUAAAUUGGAAUCACACGCGUGUAAUAUUUGCAUACAUGUUGUACCACGUGUAACCGCUUUGACGACUUGAAAGUGUCAUACAGAUAAAAUUAUAUCAUAAUAAGAAACAGUGGCUUGUAACUUGAACUCUUUUCCCUUUGCGUUUAUCGAAGAUAAUAAGUGGAAAGUAAAAACUUGAGCACAGAAGUUAAUAUAAAAGGGACAAAUUUUAAUAAUAGAAUUAUAAAUAACAAACUCGUACAAUUAUUCUUAUUCAUCUAUGAUACUUUCUCCACGUUUACAUGUAAUCAUCUAGAUAUCCCAGUGUACAUUUGUUAAAAUGUAAAUUCCAAAUAUGUUUUCGAAUCGUGAGAUUAGAACGUUUGAGUCGCGAAUAGAACGAUUUCCUAUUAAAUUUUGAAUCUGUGAUGCAAGAAAUAGAGAGAAAUAGAGAGAGAGAAAGAGAGAAAGAAAUAGAAUAUAUAUAUAUAGAGAGAGAGAAAGAGAGAGAAAGGGGGUUGAGUCGAAGAGGGUAAAAAGGAGGGGGCGUGACACGCUUAUCAGGAGGCAAAACAACACCAUAUCUAUAUAGGUAUAUUUCAAUACGAUAAUGUCACACGGUGCAACCAGCGUUAUUACAACACGAUCUUGGUAUACGUACACGGAAUAAACAUGGGUAGUUGAUACUACGGAUUCGUCCCAGGUGUAAAAGAAACAGGAAGAAGCUAAAUCGUAGACAGUAAUAGAAACAGAGAGACUUUAUAUUUAUAUAGUAGAGGAGAGAGAAAAAAUAUGUGUGUACUGUCCUUCUCAAUCAAAACGUAUAUGUUCAACUCAAAUCUCUCGAAAAAUCUUUUAAUAUAUGAUUUCAAACAUAAUCUUUUAUUCAAGGAUAUAUAAUUUCUCAAAUAAAAAUAAUAAACGAAUAAAAACUACAAGAUUUUAAUUAAAAAGAACAGUGUGUGUAUGUGUAUGUACGUGUAAGUACGUGUGUACGGUAAUUGAUAAAGAGCUACUAAAGAUAAAUAGCAUUAACCCGUGCCAGCUGGAAUCUAAGGCAAGGGUGUGUAUUUUCAUAUUUAUCUUAAGAAAGAGAGAAAGAAAGAGGGAAAGAGAGGGAGAAAAAAAAAAUGAUAAAAAAAGGGGGGAAAGAAAAUUGCGGGCAGUUUCUUUGUACUUUAUGUGUAAGUAUAUAUAUAUAUACAUAUAUAAAAUAUAUAUAUAUAUAUAUUGUAUAUAAUCGUACAGAGAGAAAGAAGAUGGAUGUAAUUGUAGGGAGCCCGCGGGAGCUCUCUCGCGUUUUUAUCGAGCAUCUUUUUCUCUCUCGAUGCCUAUACGUCGUGAAACGGGGUAUUACCUGAAGGUCCUGUUUCGCCGCCUCUGCACCGGCCCUCGUGUGAAAAGUCACGAAACCCACCGGCUGAAAUCAGAAACGAAAGCACGUGUCAUUUGGAUUUUUCUUCGUUCCCUUUUUUUUUUUUUUUUCGUUCAUUUCAUCAUCGAAAAAGGAAACGUUUCUUCAAAAGGAAGGAUUAGUGCGAACAAAAGUACGGAUAGUUUUACUAAAAUUUUCAGAAAGUUUGCGUUUAAGUUCUAAAGAAAUAUUUAUACUCCAUUGUGUAUAUUUAAAAAAUUUGUAUUUCUCAUGCGUGUUACAUAGGGUGGUGAUCUCUUGAGAGGAUUAAAAAGGGAAUGCUUUUAGAUAUCAUAAAAUUAAGAAAGAAUUUACAUCUAGCUAAAAGGGCAAAAGAAAAGAGGAGUCAUUUUUAUUUGUUGUUUUUCUUUUAUCGGUUUUCUACGUUUGUAUAAAGUAUUUUUAAAAAUUAUAUAUAUAUUCUGAAAGUAAUAUUUGUACUUUUCACAGAUACAUCGUGAAGGUUAAGAAGGUUCAAAGGAAACCUCGUCCAGGGAAACAAUGAUUUCAAGAAUAUUGUAAGAGUAUAAUAAAAUUUUAUUAGAAAAGUC